GUGCCAGCCGCCGCGGUAAGACGGAGGGUGCAAGCGUUGUUCGGAUUGACUGGGCGUAAAGGGCGUGUAGGCGGUUGGUCAAGUCUGAUGUGAAAGCCCGGAGCUCAGCCCCGGAAGGGCAUCGGAAACUAACCAGCUGGAGCGCGAUAGAGGAGGGCGGAAUUCCUGGUGUAGCGGUGAAAUGCGUAGAUAUCAGGAGGAACACCGGCGGCGAAGGCGGCCCUCUGGAUCGUUGCUGACGCUGAGACGCGAAAGCGUGGGGAGCAAACAGGAUUAGAUACCCUGGUAGUCC
rnacentral:rRNA from 1 species